rnacentral:lncRNA from 1 species
CCCAAAGUGCUGGAAUUACUGGCAAGAUCCACCACACCCAGUCUAAAUGCAUCUGAAUAUAACAUGACUCUCCUAGAGAAAAACCUGGAACCCAGAGCACCUGAAUAGAAACUCUUAAUUAUAUCAAUGAGGAAUAGUUAACUUAGCCAAGUUUCCAUUGAAUAUGAAGAACUGUAAAAUAAUGUCAGUUCUAGCCAAGAACUGAAAAGUAAUGUCAGUACUCUAUAAUGUGUAAUUCAUAGUUGCUACAUGUAAUCAGGCUUGGCCAAUUGUUUCCAGGAAGAUGGCACCCUCAUUUCUGAAUGAGGAUGACCAUUUUCCACUAAUCCAGAGGUAAAACAGUCAUUGUAACUGCACUGAAAUUUGCUGUAUCAAGUGAGACAUGAAGGUAAAUGUCAUUGGCCCAGAGUAAUUAGUCUUUUCCAGUGCUUAAAGGAAGGGAGAGAAACUAAUGCCUAUUGAGUGCCUUCAAAGCUUCUGCAAUGUGCUGGUACCCACAUGUUUCCAAUUAUUCCUCACAACACUAUGGAGAGGUUAUUUUGCCUGUUUUGCUGAUCAGGGAACUGAGACUCACAGAGUGACACCAACCCAUCAGUAUUUCAGGUUUCUGGGGAGGGUCCAGAGAGCAAGGGGGAAGCUGCUAAUUGCUUGUUGGUUCAAGAGAAAUGUUAUCUCAGUAGACUAACGUAUGGACUUUCUGAUGUCAGAAAAUGCAAACUAUGUAGUGUAACCUGUUUGCCAUUUUUUCUUUGUAUCCGCAAACUGACAGCAAAAUAUAUUGCACAAGUAUUAUAAAUCUGUUCAGUUCAAGUGCCAGAGAACAUUUACUCUGCUUCCUUCAUGAGUGGUGAGCAUGCCUGCUCCCCUACAAACUCACCAGCUCAGAGCAUUAUCAGGCUUCUCAUCUCUGCCAACCUGGUAAGUACAAAGGGCAUCUCUUGUAGUUUCGGUUGCAUUUUUCUCAUUAUGAGAUUGAGCAGCAGACAAUGUCUUUAAAAGACUUAUUUUGCUCUGGGUUUUAAUCUUAAAAUACUCUAAAUCCUCUUAGAAGUAGGUAGGGUCAGAUCUUCAAUCUGGAUGGAUUUACGUAAUGGGUCUAUGAAAGGGAUAGAAAGUCAAAGCAAGGGGGUGAGGCGGGGGAAUGAUGCGAAGUCAAAGCCCUCCCCCUCGGGGGCCCCUAGCCCAUCCCUGAUCCCUCACCCUUUGCAGGGCAUGUCCAGAGCUGCCACUGCCCUGGGCCUCCACCCCACAGCCCAGGACCACACCUUAACCUGGAAAGUCGUGGACCUCCUCAGGGGAGCUCAGGGAUCAGAUGGGCCGAUGGGUGUUACUGUGGCCAGGAGCACUGGGUCUUGAGUAUGUGGGUGGAACUUUCCCUCAUCCCCUGACCACGUCUAACCACAUGGCCUCUCCACUUUGAUAGUGGCGAGAAGAGUAGCCUCUUGCUUUUGCAUGUUUUCCUAAUCACAGCGUGCUUUCUUGUCUGCUAUUUCAUUUGACUUUUUUCAACCAGCCGCUGAGGUGGGGAUUAUUAGCACGCCCUUUGCAGAUGAGGAAACUGAAGCCCAGGGAGCUUUGGCAACCUGCCCAAGGUCACACAGCCAGUGAAGGAAAGGGCUGAAAUCAAACCAGGCCUGUCUGACUGCAAGGCAGGGUCUUACGGCUGCCUCCGGUGGGUAGGUCCGGGACCCAGCUGGUUUCCGUCCUGUGGCUCAGGUGCGAGGAGAGCCUCCCUGGGCCACCUGGGGAAGUCUGACUGACGUGCCAGAUCCUCACAGAACAAAGGAGAGAAGGGGACUCCUGAGAGGCCCCAGCAGCGUUAUCUGGGCAGAGAAAGUGAGUUUGAAGACCUCACACUCCAUCUGGACUUUAUCAGCUCCUUUCCUGGGUAGGAUUACAGUAAACGAUUAUCUACAGAUCUGGAGCCAGCAAGGACUUUGAAGGCCCCAAUUGCCAAGGGGGUGGUGAAAUGGGGGAAGGGCUGGAGACGCAGGAGAUGAAAAAGCAGUGCAGGCAUCUUAUCUUCCUCCUGAAAUCAAACAGGCUGGGCCUGGGCAGGGUGGGAGAGGUACCCUGUCUGUGAGGCUGACAGUCUCUAGCCCUGGCUGGCCACAAAAGAUACAGAGAGAACCAGAUGAAGGCCCUUCACUGUCUUCUCCUGAUCCUCUCUCCCUCCUCCUGGUUUCUUUUAUUAAUUCAUUCAUUCACUUGCAUCUUUCAGCCUGUUAGUUACAAUAUCUGACACGCUCUGAGCUCUCCCGCCAAGCCAAGUGCUUAGCAUCCAUCCCCUCAUGUGGUCUUCACCAUGACCUUCUGGGAGAGGUGCCAGAAUUAGGCCCAUUUUACAGAUGAGGAAAAUGAAGCCCCAGAGGCUAAGUAAUAGGAUGAGCCUGGGAUCACACAGCUAGUAAAUGGUAGGGUCUGGAUUCUCUUAAACCUGCAUACAUUUAUUCUUCCAUUUCCCCCUGCCUGCCUGCUUUCCUCUCAUAAUUCAUUUAUGUAUUCAGUUUUUCAUAUUCCCAUUGCUUGUUCAUUUUGAAGUUCCUUCCCUUCUUGCUUAUGCAUUUCUUCUGUCCCUUCCUGUCUUCCUCCUGUCUCUUCCUUCCUUCCAUGACCACAUCCUGAGCCUACUGUGUGCCCUGUCACCCUGCCAUCAGGACAUGGGGCUCCUGACAGAUGACUGCUGGGGAGGGAUAUGUGAGACCACCUCCUCCAGGGUCGACCUCCUCAAAUGAGGCUUUUGGGCUGUGCCUCCCUAUGCCUGAUUUGUCCCAGUGUUUGCCAAAAAUUUUAGGCUUUGAUAAUCUUGUGAAGAUGUUUCAGCCAAGCAAGUCUUGAGACUCCAUUGGUGUGGGAGUAAAAGUGGCCUGGGGAAGCCACUUCUUGCAGUUUCCCCUAAGCAAGGCUCUUUCUGUCCUUGCUGUUCUGACAUCCACUCCCUCAGCAAACAUCAUUAAGGACCUAUCAUGGGCAGCCCCUGGGGCCCACUCCCAUCCUCUAGCUGUCUCGAUUUCAUACCUCCCUAGCUCUAGAAAAUUCACUCCUAGAAGGCAGGGAAUUGGCGUCAAGGAACGGGUUCACAGCCUUGGACUCCUUUAUUCAUUCAUCUUUUUUCCUAGCACCUAACACAGGGCCUGGCUUAGACUGAAGGCUAAUAAAUACAGGAUCAAAAGGCAGUGAACCAUCAUUCUCUGUCACUCUCCAGGAGCUGGCCCACUCACCGUGCUAGACAUUGUACUGGAUAUAGUAGUCCCGCAUCGUUGUAUCACUCUCAUUUCUAGCUGGAGAAGUACCCCUCCUUUUCUAGGUGCGGUUAUGGGGUCGCUAUCACCUGAAGUGCCCGCCACUCACCCUGUAGUCUUGGGUGGGUAUGUGAUCUCAGCUAAAACAGUCGAGGUCUCUCUCCCUGGGCUUGGAAUUGUAAACCAAGUGAUGCAGAGAAAGAAAAAACACAAGCCCUUGGAGCCCAUCACAUCCCAUCACCGAUGAGGCUGUCCAGCGGUUCUGGCCCUCAGAAGCCCCAGAGAACUCCAGUUUCUGUCCUUUUCCGAGUGUGGCUUUCUGUCCACUUUAUGGCUGCUCAACCUCCCUCCAGUAUGCCCCUUCUCCCCUUAGUCAGUGAAUGUCUGUUUCUGUGCUUGCAAAUGAUAAAUCCUAAAUGAUGCCCCAGGACAUGGUUUCCAAGGCCAGCUAUUGGAGCCUCACCAGAAAUGUUCAUUCUGCCUCAUCAGUGUCUUGGCUAUUGCCUUUUUGGAACUGCUCUGACCUCUCCUCUUUCCAUCCUGCAGCACCCCCUCUCUCAGCACCAGGGAGCUCCUCCAGGAGCACUUCCUCCCAUGUCUGUGUUCGCCGUUAAGACUGGACACACCAGGAUGAUCUUUCAACUUUGGGUCCAAAGGCCCUCAGUGGAUGUAAAAUAGGUACAUGAGGCCUUGAACUGAACAUUUUUUUCACUUCACCAUAACCUGGAUUUUCCCAGUUUAGGAGCAUCUGUUUGUCUUGAUAACGUUUGGAACAAAGUGAAAAAAACUGGACUUUGAAGAGAACUUCAGGUGAAUUACACAUUUAAGUCAGAUUUUCCAUGUCUUUGUCCCAUGUUCAGUAAUUCAAGCUGUUAGGAGCCCUCAACUUUGUACAUAUAUUUCCUUCCUAUCUCUGCCUCUUCAUACCUGGUACUUACCGUGGAAUUUGAAAUCUUUCUGUGGCUGUAAGCAAGAAAGGCGGGAAAAAUACAAGAAGUUAAAGGGGAUUGGAUGGUUCAGAUUUGGUUGAUGAAUGAGAUGGUUUAGAGGCAUGUCUUGUAAGAGAUAAUUUUCUAUGUGCCAGGUACUAUUUAUGAAUCCCACAUUAUCUUAUUAAUGCUCACAACAAGCCUUGGGGGUAAAUAGAUUAUCAUCGCCAUUUCACAGAUUAGGAAAGUGAGGUUUCAGCAGUCAAUUGCUCAAAGGUCUCCUGCUAGUGAAACAGUCGUCUAUCCAAACAGUCUGAAUGACCUGUGCACAUGGGAACGUGCCACGCAAGCCAAGGGCAGGAAGGAUGAGAAGAGGUGGGCAGAAAGCCAGCUGGGAUGAAUGAAGGACCUACUACGUGCAGGCCCAGGGUCAGACAUUUUAUUUUCUUGAUUGCACUUCAGCCUCCCAGCAGCCCUGUUUUACAGAUGAAGAAACUGAGGCUCAAAGAGCUGGAGAAAGUUGUUGCCCAGGGUCCUGUGGAGAGAAAACUCAAGCUCCGGCUGUUCCACUACUCUGGGACACCACCCCCAGUGGGAACCCCACUUUUACAAGGAUUCGAAGGUAGGUGAGGACUUAUCUCCUGAAAUAAUUAGUAUACUUACUUUUUUGUUACAUAUUCCCACUAAAGGUUUGCAGCCCCACCCAGCUUGAAUAUCAGGAGAAUGGCAACAAAAUCUGGUUCAAGGCUCACAGAAUCCACGAAAGAUGCCAGCCCCUCCACGGUUGGAGAGUGAUUCACAAAUGUGUCUUUAAGGACUUUCCCAGGCCGGGCACAGUGGCUCACACCUGUAAUCCC